AAGCUGCCCUGGCCUAGGACAGACAGACUUUGGGCGGUUCUUCGAAAGCAGCGCAGAGAAGUCUUUUGUGCAGCUAGAUUGUUCACAAACUGUGGCAGCAACGUCAGUCGGGCAAUCUGACCCGGGAAGUUUGGGGAGACCUCAGAUUCCCUCCAUUUCUUGCUUUUGGAAGGUGGCGGCGGAAAUCCUGCCCAAGAUGAGGAUGCGGGCUUUGGGUCCCUUUGCCAGAUUUAUUCAAAUAAAGUGGAGAUGUGAUCAAAGGCCCUGGGGCAUCCUGCCUUCCGUGGAGUUCCCACGGCCUUCCGGGAAGGUCAAAUAAAGAGUGGGGACAGUUGCAAGGAAGCUGGGAAAGGAAGACAGUUGGAGAGAGAGGGGAAGAGAGGGAAAGAGAGAGGAAAAGAGAGGUGGGAGAGGUUAAGCUUGCCACAAGAACUCAGGGCAGCCUGCUCUUUUCUUUGCUGGC
rnacentral:lncRNA from 1 species